rnacentral:rRNA from 1 species
GAUGAACGCUGGCGGCGUGCCUAACACAUGCAAGUCGAACGGAAAGGCCCUGCUUUUGUGCGGUGCUCGAUUGCCGAACGCGUGAGUAUCACGUGUGUAUCCUGCCCUUGUCUUUCGGGUAACUUCACGAAACUGGGGCUAAUAUAGGAUAGCAUCUCUUGCUGCGUGGUGGGCGUUGGAAAGUUUCGGCUGUUGUGGAUGGACUGGCGGCUUAUCAGCUUGUUGGUGGGGUAGUGGCUUACCCAGCCUUUGACGGCUAGCCGACAUGAGAGGGGGAACGGCCACAUUGGGACUGAGAUACGGCCCAGACUCCUACGGGGGGCAGCAGUGGGGAAUAUUGCACAAUGGGACGAAGCCUGAUGCAGCAACGCCGCGUGCGGAAUGACGGCCUUCGGGUUGUAAACCGCUUUCGCCUGUGACGAAGCGUGAGUGACGGUAAUGGGUAAAGAAGCACCGGCUAACUACGUG